UUUGGUUUGUCAAUAAUAAAGCACGUUACUUUACAAAACAUUGUUGCUCAUGACUUUCAGUACGACCUACAUAAUAGAAUGCUGCAUAGUAAAUAUUUGUGUGACCUGAACAGACUGACUGUGGAUCACUUUCUUCAGUGCAGUAUUGAGCUGGUGAAGAUGAAUGUGUAUCAGAUUUUCGAUUUUCAUUAUAUUCUGUUAAGCAUUGAACUGGCAAAGAUGAAUAGAUAUCAGAUUUCACUAUUUUCUUCAAGACAUCUUAUUUUUGCUGUACUAUUUUAAUUAGUAUUGAACUGGUGAAGAUGAAUAUCAGUGGGAUGGUGUUGUGACAGCAUAUGUUUUUGUAGGUUGUGUUCUCGGUAUUGGUGGCAAACAUUUUGCAUGAUUUGAUUUGCUUACAUGUACAGAUGGCAGCAGUAAUGCAUUCAUGACGUCAGGGCAGCUAAAUCAAAAGCCAAUAACAUUGAGUUGCCAAAUUGUGGUGGAGAAUUUGUUAGCAAGUAAGGUAAUGAUGUCGGAAUUAGUAUCAUGAAAUGCAAGACUUUGCUAGUGGAUGGCACUCAGUAGUCAACAUGUGGCAAAAUUGAUCCUUUGCCUAAGCCUUUUUGGUAUUUAGAAUAAUUUUUAUACAAAAGAAACUGGUCCGUGGACAGGUGAAGCAUGGAUCGAUAGUGAUUUCUAUUUUGUGGUGGUAGACCUCGGUAGGGUUUAGAGACCAUCUGAUGUGUAAUCGGAUGGGAGUCAAGUUUGUGAAUUAGUUAAACCAAAUUUCGUAAAUGUUUGGAGUAUGUAUUAUCAGUAUUAAGUUUUAAAAAUGUGCCAGUAUAAGAUUUUGCAAGUAAAUGAACAGUUAUUAUGCAAUGCUGAGAAAACUGUAAUGUUCACAUUUUCAUGUUUAUGGUCUGUUUAGGUCCUAAGGUUACAGAAUAAGGUAAGGAAUCCUACCCGGUUGGACUUCCUGGGCCACGGUUUAGUUAUCCUUCCAGUACCAAGGAAAUGGAAUUUGUUUAUCAAACAGCAUGGUUUGAAGAAACUGGGCCUGCAGACAGUGUUCAAAAUAUCUAGUGAAAAGAUUAUCCAAAAGAAGCACAGUAUAAUCUGUAGCUGGAGUAUAAUUAAUGAUCAUGUGUUAUAUGAUUGGUCGACAGUUCUGGUGAGGUGCCUGUGAAGAGACUGUUAUUGCAACUGUUCAGGGAGGACAUUUAUGGCAGAGUGGGCCUGUAAGAUGCAGAAGAUACCCUGCUUUUUGUAUAUGUUACAUGAAGACAUCCUGUGUGGAAGUAUAUUGGCAGUUUGGGAGCCGUAUCCGUGAAAAAAAUCUGUGUCAAAUUUGUGGGUGAACAAGGAUUGUGCAGCGUCUGCCUGUCCAGUUGUGUACCAUCUACAAGGAACCCCCAUACCACAUGUCAGAUCAUAGUUUGUACUGGAUGUGUGUAUAUGUGUGUGCACAUGCGCGUGCACCAGGGGCUUCCAAUAUAGUGCAAUCUCUGGAUCCAAGAAUUCCAAAAGAAUAGGAGGUAAACCAAGUUAACUUCUCUUCCAUUAUAUGAUAUAACUCCGUCCUAAGCGCAAACUAUAUAUUAUAGGUCUUUCUUUUUGCUCCUCUUUACACAU